AGGCCGCGUCGUAAGUCAGGGGUGAAAUCCCGGGGCUCAACCCCGGAACUGCCCUUGAAACUGCAGCGCUAGAAUCUUGGAGAGGCGAGUGGAAUUCCGGGUGUAGCGGUGGAAUGCGUAGAGAUCCGGAAGAACACCGGAGGCGAAGGCGGCUGGCUGGACCUGAUCUGACGCUGAGGUGCGAAAGCGUGGGGAGCGAACAGG
rnacentral:rRNA from 1 species